AUUGAACGCUGGCGGCAGGCCUAACACAUGCAAGUCGAACGAGUGGCGGACGGGUGAGUAAUGUCUGGGAAACUGCCUGAUGGAGGGGGAUAACUACUGGACACGGUAGCUAAUACCGCAUACCAUCAGAUGUGCCCAGAUGGGAUUCGCUUGUUGGUGGGGGCACGGCUCACCAAGGGGACGAUCCCUAGCUGGUCUGAGAGGAGGACCUGCAACACUGUAACGGAGACACGGUCCAGACUCCUACGGGAGGCAGCAGUGGGGAAUAUUGCACAAUGGGCGCAAGCCUGAUGCAGCCAUGCCGCGUGUAUGAAGAAGGCCUUCGGGUUUUAAAGUACUUUCAGAGGGGAGGCGUUACCCGCAGAAGAAGCACCGGCUAACUCCGUGCCAGCAGCCGCGGUAAUUC
rnacentral:rRNA from 1 species